rnacentral:rRNA from 1 species
AAGCUCGUAGUUGAAUUUCGGGGUUAGUAGGCUGGUCAUGCCUCUGGUAUGUACUGGUCUCAUUGAUUCCUCCUUCCUUAUGAACCGUAAUGCCAUUAAUUUGGUGUUGCGGGGAAUUUGGACUGUUACUUUGAAAAAAUUAGAGUGUUUAAAGCAAGCUAACGCUUGAAUACAUUAGCAUGGAAUAAUGAAAUAGGACGUUCGAUCUUAUUUUGUUUGGUUUCUUAGGAUUGACGUAAUGAUUAAUAGGGUAGUAGGUUGGGUCGUGGAGGGCGGGCGUGGACGAACGG